GAUGAACGCUGGCGGCGUGCUUAACACAUGCGAGUCGAACGAUGAAGCCCAGCUUGCUGGGUGGAUUAGUGGCGAACGGGUGAGUAACACGUGAGUAACCUGCCCUUAACUCUGGGAUAAGCCUGGGAAACUGGGUCUAAUACCGGAUAGGAGCGUCCACCGCAUGGUGGGUGUUGGAAAGAUUUAUCGGUUUUGGAUGGACUCGCGGCCUAUCAGCUUGUUGGUGAGGUAAUGGCUCACCAAGGCGACGACGGGUAGCCGGCCUGAGAGGGUGACCGGCCACACUGGGACUGAGACACGGCCCAGACUCCUACGGGAGGCAGCAGUGGGGAAUAUUGCACAAUGGGCGCAAGCCUGAUGCAGCGACGCCGCGUGAGGGAUGACGGCCUUCGGGUUGUAAACCUCUUCCAGUAGGGAAGAAGCGAAAGUGACGGUACCUGCAGAAGAAGCACCGGCUAACUACGUG
rnacentral:rRNA from 1 species